rnacentral:rRNA from 1 species
GAUGAACGCUAGCGGCAGGCUUAACACAUGCAAGUCGAGGGGUAGAAAUAGCCUGCUAUUUUGAGACCGGCGCACGGGUGCGUAACGCGUAUGCAAUCUGCCUUGUACUGGGGAAUAGCCCGGAGAAAUCCGGAUUAAUGCCCCAUGGUAUUUUUGUGUGGCAUCACACGAUUAUUAAAGAUUUAUCGGUACAAGAUGAGCAUGCGUCCCAUUAGUUAGUUGGUGUGGUAACGGCACACCAAGACGAUGAUGGGUAGGGGUCCUGAGAGGGAGAUCCCCCACACUGGUACUGAGACACGGACCAGACUCCUACGGGAGGCAGCAGUGAGGAAUAUUGGUCAAUGGGCGCAAGCCUGAACCAGCCAUGCCGCGUGCAGGAUGACGGCCCUAUGGGUUGUAAACUGCUUUUAUACGGGAAGAAACACCUCUUCGUGAAGAGGCUUGACGGUACCGUAAGAAUAAGGAUCGGCUAACUCCGUGCCAGCAGCCGCGGUAAGAC